rnacentral:rRNA from 1 species
CCUACGAGUGACAGCAGUAGGGAAUAUUGCUCAAUGGGGGAAACCCUGAAGCAGCAACGCCGCGUGGAUGAUGAAGGUUUUCGGGUUGUAAACUACUUUUGUUAGAGAAGAUAAUGUCGGUAUCUAACGAAUAAGCACCGGCCAACUCCGUGCCAGCAGCCGCGGUAUUACGGAGGGUGCAAGCGUUACUCGGAAUGACUGGGCGUAACGAGCGCGUAGGCGGGAUAGCAAGUCAGAUGUGAAAUCCUAUGGCUUAACCAUAGAACUGCAUUUGAAACUGUUAGUCUAGAGUAUGGGAGAGGUAGGUGGAAUUCUAGGGGUAGGGGUAAAAUCCGUAGAGAUCAGGAGGAAUACUAAUGGCGAAGGCGACCUGCUGGAACAUAACUGACGCUGAUGCGCGAAAGCGUGGGGAGCAAACAGGAUUAGAUACCCUUGUAGUC